AGGGUUCCGGUUCCCGCUCUCACUCAUCACAGAGCGACCCGGCGGCC
rfam:Actinoplanes sp. SE50/110, complete genome.